rnacentral:rRNA from 1 species
UGGCGGCAGGCUUAACACAUGCAAGUCGAGCGGUAGCAGAUCUAGCUUGCUAGAUGCUGACGAGCGGCGGACGGGUGAGUAACGCGUAGGAACCUGCCCAGUAGUCGGGGGAUAGCCCGGGGAAACUCGGAUUAAUACCGCAUACGCUCUACGGAGGAAAGAGGGGGCUUCGGCUCUCGCUAUUGGAUGGGCCUGCGUGAGAUUAGCUAGUUGGUGAGGUAAUGGCUCACCAAGGCGACGAUCUCUAGCUGGUCUGAGAGGAUGAUCAGCCACACUGGGACUGAGACACGGCCCAGACUCCUACGGGAGGCAGCAGUGGGGAAUAUUGCACAAUGGGCGCAAGCCUGAUGCAGCCAUGCCGCGUGUGUGAAGAAGGCUUUCGGGUUGUAAAGCACUUUCAGUGGGGAGGAAGGCCUCGUAGUUAAUAGCUGCGAGGAUUGACGUUACCCACAGAAGAAGCACCGGCUAACUCCGUG